rnacentral:rRNA from 1 species
AACGCUUCUUUCCUCCCGAGUGCUUGCACUCAAUUGGAAAGAGGAGUGGCGGACGGGUGAGUAACACGUGGGUAACCUACCCAUCAGAGGGGGAUAACACUUGGAAACAGGUGCUAAUACCGCAUAACAGUUUAUGCCGCAUGGCAUAAGAGUGAAAGGUGCUUUCGGGUGUCGCUGAUGGAUGGACCCGCGGUGCAUUAGCUAGUUGGUGAGGUAACGGCUCACCAAGGCCACGAUGCAUAGCCGACCUGAGAGGGUGAUCGGCCACACUGGGACUGAGACACGGCCCAGACUCCUACGGGAGGCAGCAGUAGGGAAUCUUCGGCAAUGGACGAAAGUCUGACCGAGCAAUGCCGCGUGAGUGAAGAAGGUUUUCGGAUCGUAAAACUCUGUUGUUAGAGAAGAACAAGGACGUUAGUAACUGAACGUCCCCUGACGGUAUCUAACCAGAAAGCCACGGCUAACUACGUGCCAGCAGCCGCGGUAAUACGUAGGUGGCAAGCGUUGUCCGGAUUUAUUGGGCGUAAAGCGAGCGCAGGCGGUUUCUUAAGUCUGAUGUGAAAGCCCCCGGCUCAACCGGGGAGGGUCAUUGGAAACUGGGAGACUUGAGUGCAGAAGAGGAGAGUGGAAUUCCAUGUGUAGCGGUGAAAUGCGUAGAUAUAUGGAGGAACACCAGUGGCGAAGGCGGCUCUCUGGUCUGUAACUGA